CGUGGGUAACCUGCCCAAGAGAUCGGGAUAACACCUGGAAACAGAUGCUAAUACCGGAUAAUAACAGAUGAUGCCUAUCAACUGUUUAAAAGAUGGUUCUGCUAUCACUCUUGGAUGGACCUGCGGUGCAUUAGCUAGUUGGUAGGGUAACGGCCUACCAAGGCGAUGAUGCAUAGCCGAGUUGAGAGACUGAUCGGCCACAUUGGGACUGAGACACGGCCCAAACUCCUACGGGAGGCAGCAGGU
rnacentral:rRNA from 1 species